rnacentral:rRNA from 1 species
UACCAGCACCCCGAGUGGUCGGGACGUUUAUUGGGCCUAAAGCGUCCGUAGCCGGUUCUACGAGUCUUCCGUUAAAUCCAACUGCUUAACAGGUGGGCUGCGGAAGAUACUAUAGAGCUAGGAGGCGGGAGAGGCAAGCGGUACUCGAUGGGUAGGGGUAAAAUCCGUUGAUCCAUUGAAGACCACCAGUGGCGAAGGCGGCUUGCCAGAACGCGCUCGACGGUGAGGGAUGAAAGCUGGGGGAGCAAACCGG